rfam:Pteropus alecto contig31222, whole genome shotgun sequence.
AUCUAUGGCCAUGCUACCCGGAACAAGCCCGAUCCCGUCUGACCUUGGAAGCUAAGCAGGGUCAGGCCUGGUUAGUACUUGGAUGGGAGACCACCUAAGAUGACCAGGUGCUGUAGGCG